rnacentral:lncRNA from 1 species
GGGGAGGGGAACGCUGUGAUUUAAUUAGUAAACUGCCACAGAACUUGAGACUGGCAGCCUUUAAAAGGAGGUAUAGUUAAUGAUAUGGAUAUGACCACAACCAGAUGCUGAUUCUGCCAAUCUCCGCUGGUGUCAGUAAUUUGUACUCAAUAAUGCACUGUAUGAAAAACAUUAAGGUCUCCCCAAAACCUAUAAAAUUUGACAGGAUAUCACUAGCCCUGAAAGGUAGUUAAGAGUUCAAGGGGUCUGGGAUCUCCUGCUAGUCUCUAUCUUUUUGAACCUAACCUCUAGGGGAGAUCAUAUUUUCUCAGUAAAAUUGGGAAAAUACACAAACGGACCUACUCUAUGGGUCGUUAAGAAAUAAAAUGUGCAUCGGAAAGCAGCUGGCACAGCGCCUCGUAAGCAACUGUAUUCAUAUUCUUUUUGGCCAAAUAGAAAGAAACAAAGAAAAGCUUCUGUGAAUUAAACAGUUUUGUAUGAUAAGAAAUUUUUUAAAAAAUACAGAGUGAUGAACACAAAAAAAAUUACAGCUGGAGAUUGUCAGUCCAUCACUCAUUAUUUAGAUCUAGGGUCACAAAUUGUAACAUAUUGUAGAAACUGUGAGCUUAGCAGCAAACAAGUGGGAAAGAAAGAAAAGAAAAAACAGUACGUCCAUCCGUGAUACUGAAUUCCAAUGGGCUGGAUAGGUUUAAAAAAUAAAAAGUACCUCCAGCUCAGAAGACACUAAAACUUUACAACUAAGCCAAGAUCGCCCUCCACAGAGUUCUAAUGCAACAUCCAACUCCAUCCCCGCCCUUUAGAGCACUCGGCCCGCAUUUCCGACCCGAGCUGGAGACCGAGCGCGGGACGCGCCCCAGGUGCCAGCCCCAGGCCGGAGCGCCAGGUGCAGGCGCCGCCCCGCCCUCCGCGGAGCCCGGAGACCCGCCGCCGGGCUGGGGAUGCCCGCGCGGGGCCGGCGGCCUGGACCCCCGGCCCGCCACGCUCCGGUGCCCCGCUCCUGUCGCGCCCUGCCCCCGGCGGGACGCGCCCCGACCACCCGGGCACGCCCCGGGCCGGCAAUCGCGGGGUGAGCGGAAGAUGAAGGUGAAGAUAUUUUGGUUUGCUGUCAUCAUAAAAAUACUUUGAAGAUGAUGAAUUGACCAAAGACAUCUAUCUCCUUCCUAAGGCCACACUAAAAUGAUGGUAAGGGAUAAGAAUACUCAAAAAAGAUGGAAAAGAAAAAUAAAUACUCUAAAGACAGGGGAGUGGACCUCCAUGGCUGGGAAAUUUCAGUAAAUGUUUGGCUGAGGGAAAGCAGGGUGCAGUAGUAACUGAAUGAAGGGGCAGAGAAAACUGUUUAGGAGGAGAAGAGCAC